rnacentral:rRNA from 1 species
GACGAACGCUGGCGGCGUGCCUAACACAUGCCAAGUCGAACGGACGAGGGGAGCUUGCUCCCUGAGUUAGUGGCGAACGGGUUGAGUAACGCGUGAGGAACCUGCCUUUCAGUGGGGGACAACAGUUGGAAACGACUGCUAAUACCGCAUAACAUCUUCUGGAGGCAUCUCUGGAAGAUCAAAGCUUUAAGUGCUGAAAGAUGGUCUCGCGUCUGAUUAGCUAGUUGGUGAGGUAACGGCUCACCAAGGCGACGAUCAGUAGCCGGUCUGAGAGGAUGAACGGCCACAUUGGGACUGAGAUACGGCCCAGACUCCUACGGGAGGCAGCAGUGGGGAAUAUUGGGCAAUGGGCGAAAGCCUGACCAGCAACGCCGCGUGAAGGAGAAGG